UACAUAAACAAGCUCUGAGAAAAUAUAUAUAACUAAUUUCGAUGUAUGAAAAAUACCUACGUUACAGUUACGAAUUAAAAAAUCUUGGCAAGCUGCAACACUUUUGUAAGAGCUCUUUGUUUUAUCUUCAUUAGAGUUUUUAUAAAAGGAAAUAAAUAUUGAUUAAGAGUCUGUUGGUGAGAUAAGCGUGGGUAGAUUUAUUACGAAUAAAUCUACUUUUGACGGAGUAUCUCUAAAUCCACGAACAUUCGGCGAACUUAAGAGUGCGUAUUUUCAGACCCAUUUGGUGGUGAAACCUCGAAUCGAGUGAUAGUGUUUCGCUAAUUUCAGCAGUGUUAAAUAGAUAUAUCCUAUGAAAGGGUUCCCGCAUUACGUACUGUUAACAAAAGACAUCCUUGUCCCGUCUGGGUGGCCGCUCGAUGGCAUAGAUAGGCUAGUGCUCACCUUGGCCGAAAAAAUAAUUAAUGAGAAUAAUAGUGUUAACUCUAUUUUGCAAGUAAAAGACGUUCCCGCGAAAUUAGUUACAUUAAUAAACAACGAUGAUUUUGUGUAUGUGUUUGAGCAAGUUUCUAUUACGUAAGUACUGUUGUGACGCUAAUUACCAAGGAUAGUGACGUGUUGAGGAAAAUAAGCAAGUGUGUUUCGUUUUCAUUUCAGAGAGACAGUGGGUUCUUAUCUUUACGAAAUAGUGCUACCGAAGGAAGAAGCGAGCAUCCGACGAAGAACAUUUAGCGGAAAUAGCUUUAUUAACCAAUCCUGGCCGGAUUACGCUAUCAGUGUCUCCACAAGAGCUCAAAAGACAUCAUAUUACUUGAUGCCACCACAUUUAGAGACGUCUUCACGGUUCUACUACUGUAGCUUCUGCAGUCAGUGAUACACCGAAAACCUCGCUGCAAUACAAAAUAAUUUAGCCGACUGUUUGUUAUUGCUUAUAAGUUGACCUGUGAACCGAUCAAGAUGCCCACAUCCAUCACAGACGCUACUUCAGUUGCGUACAAGGGUGCUUCCAUCAUGAGCCAGCACACUGAAGCUUCAGUACGUCGCCAAUCAUGGACACUAGAGGUUUCGCCCCAGAAGAGGAAUCAAAUUUGGGAACAACGUAAACUCUUUAUGAGGGACAUGCUUGUCAGUGCUACAGAUUCUUCGUGUAAAGUGACUGUGCUGCGACGAAGCAGCAGUGACCGAGCUAUGACGAAGGAUAAUACAAACCGUUCUUAAUUAAUAAUUAAUAUUUGUAAGUGUUUGUCUUUUAAGUUUAUAUUUAAAGUGCAGAUUA